rnacentral:lncRNA from 1 species
GUGAGAAAAUGAAGGCACAGAGAGAUUGAGUAACUUGCACAAGGUCACAUGUAGGAGAACUGAGCAUCCACCCUACUCAGCCUGGCCCCAAGGUCCAAGGUAACUUAAACCCAAUUAUAAAUGGCUUUGGCUAUAAAGUGUUCUUGAAUGAAAACGUUUAGGAAGUAGGCCUGGAUUCAGAUGCUUCAGAGGCUCAAAGGUUUUCUAAUUGUUUAUGGAGAAGAUUGAUCUUCACAAGCUAGUUUUUUCAUAGGCAAAAGCAAAAGUCUCUUCCUGUGUUAUUAAGUGAAAAUGGCUGAUUAUAAAAAGGGGCUUACAAACAAUAUUUAACAAAUCUUCAUCAAGUCCCUACUCUGUGGCAGGCCCUGGGUCAGGAGGUUGCCGAUUCCAGGAAGAAUCAGACCUUAUCCCUGCCCUUGAGUCUCAAGAAGAGGAAAGGAAAACAAAUAAGCAUAGUACAGUGUGAAAAGUGGGACUGUGGUCAAAUUUCAGUCUGCAAACUCAGAAUGGAUGAAAUAUGAAAGACUGACAACAUCAAGUUGUCAAGUAGGACAGGAUGUGGAACCACUGGAACUCAUACGUGACUGAUGGGAAUGCAAAAUGAUACCGAUCCCUUGGAAAACUCCUUGGCAACUUUAAUAAACAUAAAUCUACCCUAUGAUCCAGAAAUUCCACUCUGAGUCACGUCUCCAAGAGCAAUGAAAAUAUAUACCCACAAAAGACUGCACAUAAAUCAGAACAGCAUUGUUGAUAAUAGCCCAAACUGGAAACAACCUAAAUAUUCACCAAUAGAAGCCUGAAUAAAUUCAUACUGUGGGAUACUCUACAGCAAUGAGAUCAUGAAAGAUAGUGUGGCUUCCACUUUGGUCUCUUAUAUCACCUACUGGGGGAAGCCAGCUGCCAUGUUGUGAGGACACUCAAGAAGCUCUGUGGAGAGGCUCUUUUGAAGGAGAACCAAUGCCUCCCACCAACAGCCAGCAUCAACUUGGGACAUGUGAGUGAACCAAUUGGAAGUGGAUCCUCCAGCCAAGUCAAGCCUUCAGAUGACUGAAGCCCCAGCCUCAUGAGAGAUAGCAGGCUAAAACUGCCCAGCUAAGCUGCUCCUGAAAUCCUGACCCCCCAAAUUAUAAAAGACAAUAAAUUAUUAUUGUUGUUUUAAGCCACUACAUGUUGGGGUGAUUCAUUAUGCAGCAACAGAUAAUAAAUACAUCACCCUUGUAUUCAUUACUGACGUUUAUUGGGAGCAUAGUGUGUGAUUUUUCAUUUAACCCUUCCAGUAAUGCUGUGAGAUAGGUAAGUUUAUUAUCCCCAUUUUACAGACAAAGAAACUGAGGUUCAGAAUGAGUGAAGUCUCUUCCCUGCAGAGUCCCUGACCUUAAGGAUUUUAUGGUCAGAUCUGAGAGACAGAAGCUCAAAAACCUAUGACUCUAGGCAAAAUAUGGCCCUGGGAUCCCAGGAUGGGGAGAGGAAUUUUGGAUUCUGGCUUCUACUUGGGCCUCAUAGCUUGGGAUGACAGAGGGUACACUCCAAAGGCAACAAACACCUUCCCUGCCCUUGAGCACCUGCUUAAUCAAGGGGAGAAAGUUCAGAUGCUUAUGCAUAAUGUGUGGUAUUUCUCUGCACAGAAACACACACGGGCCUGUACAGUAAUAAUGAAAAGCAACAACCCAUCUUAAGGGCUUGGCACUUUGCACUUACAAAGCCUUAUACAUCCCUAAUUCCAUGGAAUCACACCUGGCAGGUAAGCGUGGCCCUGUACACUUUACAGAUGGGGACACUGAGGUCAGGGAAGUUGUGUGAUUCUUGCAGAGCCAAGCAGCCUAGAAGUGGCAGAGUUCAGGUAAAACCCAGUAACUGGGUGUUUUACAAGUGCUAAGGGUAUGACAGGAGGUAGGCAGGGCUCCUCUGAGGGAGGUUUCAGGAAGAGGUCACCCGCGAGCAGGGUUCUGAGAAUGGGGAAGUGGCUUCGGGGAGAGGAUGGUGCCUGGGAGGGUUUGAGAGGAAACAGAGUGAGUCCCUAGGGGCUCCCAGGGUGUACGAGGGCAAAGAGGUGAACAUAGCUGGAGUGGAAAGAAUGAGAAAGCCUGGGUGUGUGGAAGAGCCUUGGUGUGUUAGGUGGAAUUGCAGCUGGAGGGUGUGUGCAGAAUGAGAGGUCUUGGUAUUGGGGCCAAAGUCAACUGCCACGCCUAAGGAGGGAGGAAGGCGCUUAUUUUGCUUCUUGGGUGAAAAUCAUUCCUGUGAUUUAGUUCUCCUUGGGGGAGGGGCGGGGUUUCAUCCAGCCUUAGCAAAUGCAUUCAAUCUUCACUACUUCUCUCUGUCAGAUGGGGUGGAUAGAGGUCCAAAUGUGGGCAGAAGCUUUUAUGUCCCAUCGCAGGGCAGCUAAGAACAGCUGCGCGGGUCGUUCACUGUACAUGGGCACUAGGCCAAAAGGGACUGAAAUCCGGACGGCCCUUUGUUUACUAAGCCAUGUGCCUGCAAGGCUGCACCUGCCCAGAAGGAAUGCUUCCUAUUUCUUUUCUUUAAAAAAAAAUUUUUUUUAUGAGCUAAAAUUCACAUAACAUAGAAUCUACCAUUUAAACCACUUUAAAGUAUAAAGUUCAGUGCUUUUAGUAUAGUCACAAUGUUGUGCAACCAUCACCACUAGCAGUUUUCGGAACAUUUCCAUCAUCCCAAAAAACAACUCCAUAACUCCUAAUUCCCCCCCUUUCCCCAUCUCUUGGCGACCAUGAAUCUGAACUUUCAUAUGAAUGGAGUUCUAUAAUUUGCUGUCUUCUGUGACUGUCUUCUUUCAUUUGGCAUUAAAACUUUUCAAGUUUUACCCAUGUUGUGGUAUGUGUCUGUACUUCAUUCCUUUUUAUGGCUCGAUAAUAUCGCAUUGUGUGAAUAUUCCACAAUUUGUGUAUCCCUUCAUGAGUUGAUGGACAUAUGGGUUAUAUCCACUGGCUGUUAAGAACAGGCGGGUCACGGUGGCUCACGCCUGAAAUCCCAGCACUUUGGGAGGCUGAGGUGGGCGGAUCACCUGAGGUCAGGAGUUCUAGAUCAGCUUUGCCAACACGGUGAAACCUUGUCUCUACCAAAUAUAUAAAAAUU